CCUACGGGGGGCAGCAGUCGAGAAUCAUUCACAAUGGGGGAAACCCUGAUGGGGCGACGCCGCGUGGGGGAAUGAAGGUCUUCGGAUUGUAAACCCCUGUCAUGUGGGAGCAAAUUAAAAAGAUAGUACCACAAGAGGAAGAGACGGCUAACUCUGUGCCAGCAGCCGCGGAAAUACAGAGGUCUCAAGCGUGGUUCGGAAUCACGGGGCGUAAAGGGUGCGUAGGCUGUUUCGUAAGUCGUGUGUGAAAGGCGCGGGCUCAACCCGCGGACGGCACAUGAUACUGCGAGACUAGAGUAAUGGAGGGGGAACCGGAAUUCUCGGUGUAGCAGUGAAAUGCGUAGAUAUCGAGAGGAACACUCGUGGCGAAGGCGGGUUCCUGGACAUUAACUGACGCUGAGGCACGAAGGCCAGGGGAGCGAAAGGGAUUAGAUACCCUUGUAGUC
rnacentral:rRNA from 1 species